GGGUAUAUAGCUCAGUGGUAGAUCACAUGCUUAACAUGCAUGAAGUCCUGGGUUCAAUCCCCAGAACUUCCA
rnacentral:tRNA from 1 species